rnacentral:lncRNA from 1 species
AGCUGCAGUAUGGGGAGGGGAGCAAAGCACUGACACGCAAAGGGAAGCGCAGCUGCUUGAAACUCGCUGUUUAUGAAGCAGAACUUUCCCUGCAAAACAGCAGCAGAUUUGCUCCCUUUAUGCUCCUGGCAGAGCUGGAUGGGGAAAUGGGGUCAUAUAGGAACAGCCCCAUCCUGAAGCCGAGCUCUGAGCGCAGCAGAUACGAGGAGCAAAGGGAGAGAUGGCGAAACCCAAAGCAACGUGGGGUGCUCAGCUCAUUGCUGAGCUGCUCUGGCUUUGCUGGGGUGCAAUAAGACAAGCAGGCGCUGUGGCUGCAGGGCUGCAGUGCUACCCGUGCUGCGUGCUGCCCUGUAUUGCCUGCUGCUGCCACAGUGCUACUCAUGCAGCUGUGUUGCUGUGUUGCAGUGCAGCUGUGCUGCUCAUGCUGCUCUGCUACUAGUGCUGCUGUAUUGCAGUGCUGCAGGUGCUGCCAGUGCAGCAGUGCAUCUUGUGCUGCUGUGAUGCAGUGCUGCUGUACUGCUUUGCUGGUGUACUGCAGUGCUACAGUGCUGCUCGUGCCCUGUGCUACGCGUGCUGCAGUGCUGCUCUACUGCAGCGCUGCUGUGCUGCUCGUGCAGCUGUGUUGCUGUGUUGCUCUGCUGCAGCGCUGCUCAUGCUGCUGUGCUNNNNNNNNNNNNNNNNNNNNNNNNNCUGCAGCCCCGUGCGAUGCAUGUUGGGUUCAUCUUGCAGCCUGCAGCUCCAUGCGAUGCAUGUUGGGUUCAUCUUGCAGCACCAGCUGCAGCCCCAUGCGAUGCAUGUUAGGUUCAUCUUGCAGCCUGCAGCUCUGUGCAAUGCAGCCCGGCCUCCUCCCAGCUGGGAGCUGCUGCUGCUGCUGCUGCUGGUGGGGGAUGCAUGUGCAGCACAGCAGGACGGGCUGCACCUCCUGCUCCUGCUGCUCCUGCUGCUCCUGCUGCACAGCUGCGUCCCACUGCGGCUUCCUGCCCUGCACACACACACACACACACACACACACACACACACACGUGAUGGAGCAGCAGCAGGGGCAGGAAGGCGGCGGUUCCUAUUUCCUCACAUUGUAGGCGAGUUUUUUUUGCUGCUUUGUUGUUAUUUUGGUUUAAUUUCUUUCCUUUCUGAGCCUCGCGAGGCCGACGCGACGCGAUGGAGCAACAGAGCAAACAACGCAGUCAGAACAUCCCAAUGCGUGGGGGUGCAGAGCAAAGGGAGCAGAGCAAACAAUGCAAAGUCAUUGCAACACAUGGGGGUGCAGAGCAAAAGGAGCAGAGCAAACAGCUCCAAGAACAGAGCAAAUAAUGCANNCAAACUCAUCCCAACACAUGGGGGUGCAGAGCAAACGGAGCAGAGCAAACAACGCAAAGUCAUUGCAACACAUGGGGGUGCAGAGCAAAAGGAACAGAGCAAACAACGCAAACUCAUCCCAACACAUGGGAAUGCAGAAGGAACAGAGCAAACAACUCCAAGAACAGAGCAAACAAUGCAAUCAAACUCAGUGCAACACAUGGGAGUGCAGAGCAAAAGGAGCAGACACAAUGCAAUUAAACUCAUCCCAACAAAUAGGGGUGCAGAGCAAAGGAAGCAGCCCUUGCAGCUCCAAGAACAGAGCAAACAAUGCAAACAAACUCAUCCCAACAACAAAUGGGAGUGCAGAGCAAAAGGAGCAGCCCUUGCAACUCCAAGAACAGAGCAAAUAAUGCAGUCAAACUCAUUGCAACAACAAAUGGGAGUGCAGAGCAAAAGGAACAGCCCUUGCAACCCCAAGAACAGAGCAAACAAUGCAGUUGAAACUCAUCCCAAAAGCAAAUGGGAAUGAAGAGCAAAGGGAGCAGAGCAAACAACUCCGAGAACAGAACAAACAAUGCAAUCAAACUCAUCCCAACAAAUGGGAGUGCAGAAGGAACAGAUGCAAAUGGGAAUGCAAAAGGAACAGCCUUUGCAACUCUGUGCCUUUGCAACUCCAAGAACAGAGCAAACAAUGCAAACAAACUCAUCCCAACAAAUAAUGGGAAUGCAGAGCAAAACAAACAGCCCUUGCAACUCCAUGUUCCAGCACCCAGGCCCAGCUCUGCACCUCCAAGCAAAGCAACCCCCAAUGCAUCACGUUGCACCUCCCAGCAAAGCAACCCCCAAUGAAUCAUCUUGCACCUCCAAGCAAAGCAAAGCAACCCCCAAUGCAUCACCUUGCACCUCCCAGCAGAGCAGCAAGGCUCCGCUCUGCACCUCCAAGCAAAGCAACCCCCAAUGCAUCACGUUGCACCUCCCAGCAGAGCAGCAAUGCUCCCCAAUGCACCUCCCAGCACUGCAGCCCCCAAUGCAUCACGUUGCACCUCNCCCCAAUGCAUCACGUUGCACCUCCCAGCAGAGCAGCAAUGCUCCCCAAUGCACCUCCCAGCACUGCAGCCCCCAAUGCAUCACGUUGCACCUCCCAGCUCUGCAGCCCCCAAUGCAUCACGUUGCACCUCCCAGCACUGCAGCCCCCAAUGCAUCCCCUGCAUCAGCUGCACUGAGGCUGCACCCAGCCCCAGACGUGAGCAUCACCUUGCACCUGCAAGCAGAGCAGCCCCCAAUGCAUCACGUUGCACCUGCAAGCAGAGCAGCAAUGCUCCCCAAUGCACCUCCCAGCAAAGCAACCCCCAAUGCAUCACGUUGCACCCCCCAGCACUGCAGCCCCCAAUGCAUCACGUUGCAGCUCCCAGCACUGCAGCCCCCCAUGCAUCAUCCCCUGCAUCAGCUGCACUGAGGCUGCACCCAGUCCCAGAUGUGAGCAUCACCUUGCACCUGCAA